GGGGCAUUUCCUUCAGCGCCACCAUGCCAGAGAGAGCGGCAACUUCCCACAGGUUGCAAAUGAGUCCGCGUGAUGGGGACGUGAGUUAAUUAGUGCACUUGGGUUUGAGAGGUGGGUAACAAGCUGCCGCUCUGCAUUUGGUGGUUCCUUUUCCGAACAGGUGGCAACUGACUGACGGGCUUUCUCUGAAGUGGAGAAGGACAUCUGUGUUUUCCAUAUUGCGGAACACCGGAUCUUUCCAAGUCACACAUUUGGGAAGACAGCUGAAUUGCCUUCAAGUUCCUCCUGUUAUGGUACAAAUACCCACCUGGUGUGCAAACAUGAGAGACGCAGCUUUACACUAGAACCAAUGAAAGCAAAUUUGAGAAAACCCAACUCUUUAGGAAUGGAGACUACAGAUGUAUGAGGGGAUCUUAAUAAUUAAAAGAAGAAAAUAUGUAAACAGGAAAAAUAUCCAACUGUCACAAAACUCUACACUAAAUCAAACUGCAAAGUUUUGUCUUUUUAAAAAUAUAGUCAUGUGCCACAUGACAACGUUUCAAUCAAGGAGGGGCUGCAUACACGACAAUGGUCCUGUAAGAUUACAAUGGCGCUGAAAAUUUCCUAUGGCCCAGUCACAUCAUAGCUACCAAAACAUCACUGUGCAAGGCACUACUCAUGUGUCUGUGAUGUUGCUGGUACCAACAAAUUUACUGCACUGCCAGUCAUAUAAAAGUAUAACACAUACAAUUAUAUACAGUACUUAAUACUUGAUAAUGGUAAUAGUGACUAUGUUACUGAUUUACGUAUUUACUAUAACUUGUGUCAUUAUUUUAGAGUGUGCUCCCUGUACUUACAAAAUAAAAAAUUUAACUGUACAACAGCCCCAGGCAAGUCCUUUAGGAGGAAUUCCAGAAGAAAGCAUUGUUAUCAUAGGAGAUGACAGCUCCAUGCGUGUUAUUGCCCCUGAAGACCUUCCAGUGGGAGAAGAUGUGCAGCUAUAGAAUAAACAGUGGCUGGAGGAUGAUACACCAAAGAAGGAAAGAAACAAGUGAACUCAAAUCAAAGAAUUCACAUCAGCUUUUUUGAAAGGGGAAAACCAAAAACGUCAAUUGCAAGCCUCAACCCCCUUCUUCUUCCCCAAACUGUUUUUCCUUUUGGUUUAUUUCUGCAUCAGAGUCUACCUAGGUUUCAAAACCAAUUUUCCAUUUUCCUAGAACCAGCCAAAUAUGGAGUGUGUGCAAAAACAUGGUAGCUUAAAAGAAGAAGAAGUAGACAAUUAUCAAAGGGAAGAGGGAGGAAGGAAAGAGAAGGGAAAUAAAGAGAGAUGACACAAGGGAACUGGACCAGAUAAAGACAAAGCAAUGCACUUAACCCACCUGGAGAGCACAUCGGACCAGCAAGGCGCUCUCAGCCAAUCGCCUGGGUCUGCGGCUGGGAGGAGAGUCCGCAUGGGUUCAUUUGGCUGAGGAGUGUGUUUCAUAAACCUUACGGUGCAGCU
ensembl:lncRNA LOHAN2 lncRNA oncogene in head and neck cancer 2